GAGAAGUUAGCUUCGGCUAGCAAGUAAAGUGGCGAACGGGUGAGUAACGCGUAGGUAACCUGCCUUUAGAAUUGGGAUAACUUUGCUAACGCAGGGCUAAUACCAAAUAAUGCGUUUUUUUCACAUGGAAAUAACGUUAAAGAAGGGGAUUCGUAAGAACCUUUUGUCUAUAGAUGGACCUGCGUUCCAUUAGUUUGUUGGUGAGGUAACGGCUCACCAAGGCGAUGAUGGAUAGCCGACCUGAGAGGGUGAUCGGCCACACUGGGACUGAGAUACGGCCCAGACUCCUACGGGAGGCAGCAGUAGGGAAUAUUGCGCAAUGGCCAAAAGGCUGACGCAGCAACGCCGCGUGACUGAUGAAGCUCUAAGGAGUGUAAAAGUCUGUUAGGAGGGAAGAAUAGUUCAGACGUAAAUAAUGUUUGAAUCUGACGGUACCUCCAGAGAAAGCUCCGGCCAACUCCGUGCCAGCAGCCGCGGUAAUACGGGGGGAGCAAGCGUUGUCCGGAAUUACUGGGCGUAAAGGGCGCGUAGGCGGAUUUGUAAGUCAGAAGUGAAAUCUAUCGGCUCAACCGAUAAACUGCUUCUGAAACUGCAAGUCUUGAGUAAGGCAGAGGAAAGUGGAAUUCCUGGUGUAGCGGUGAAAUGUGUAGAUAUCAGGAAGAACACCAGUUGCGAAGGCGGCUUUCUGGGCCUUAACUGACGCUGAGGCGCGAAAGCGUGGGGAGCAAACAGGAUUAGAUACCCUGGU
rnacentral:rRNA from 1 species